UACGUAGGGGACAAGCGUUGUCCGGAUUUACUGGGCGUAAAGAGCGCGCAGGCGGUCGUUCAAGUCGAGUGUGAAAGCCCCCGGCUCAACUGGGGAGGGUCAUUCGAUACUGAUCGACUCGAAGGCAGGAGAGGGAAGUGGAAUUCCCGGUGUAGUGGUGAAAUGCGUAGAUAUCGGGAGGAACACCAGUGGCGAAGGCGACUUCCUGGCCUGUUCUUGACGCUGAGGCGCGAAAGCUAGGGGAGCAAACGGG
rnacentral:rRNA from 1 species